rnacentral:rRNA from 1 species
UACGUAGGGUGCAAGCGUUGUCCGGAAUUAUUGGGCGUAAAGAGCUCGUAGGCGGUUUGUCGCGUCUGCUGUGAAAACUCGGGGCUUAACCCCGGGCCUGCAGUGGGUACGGGCAGACUAGAGUGCGGUAGGGGAGACUGGAAUUCCUGGUGUAGCGGUGAAAUGCGCAGAUAUCAGGAGGAACACCGGUGGCGAAGGCGGGUCUCUGGGCCGGAUACUGACGCUGAGGAGCGAAAGCGUGGGGAGCGAACAGG